rnacentral:rRNA from 1 species
GAUGAACGCUGGCGGCGUGCUUAACACAUGCAAGUCGAACGAAGCACUUUUACAGAUUUCUUCGGGACUGAUUAUUUGUGACUGAGUGGCGGACGGGUGAGUAACGCGUGGGUAACCUGCCCCAGACCGGGGGAUAACAGUCGGAAACGACUGCUAAUACCGCAUAAGCGCACAGUGCCGCAUGGCACAGUGUGAAAAACUCCGGUGGUCUGGGAUGGACCCGCGUCCGAUUAGUUAGUUGGCGGGGUAACGGCCCACCAAGACCGCGAUCGGUAGCCGACCUGAGAGGGUGACCGGCCACAUUGGGACUGAGACACGGCCCAGACUCCUACGGGAGGCAGCAGUGGGGAAUAUUGCACAAUGGAGGAAACUCUGAUGCAGCGACGCCGCGUGAGCGAAGAAGUAUUUCGGUAUGUAAAGCUCUGUCAGCAGGGAAGAUAAUGACGGUACCUGACCAAGAAGCCCCGGCUAACUACGUG